AUACGGAGGGUGCAAGCGUUGUUCGGAAUUAUUGGGCGUAAAGCGCGUGUAGGCGGUCUGUUAAGUCUGGUGCGAAAGCCCUGGGCUCAACCCAGGAAGUGCAUUGGAUACUGACAGACUUGAGUAUGGGAGAGGAAAGCGGAAUUCCGAGUGUAGGAGUGAAAUCCGUAGAUAUUCAGAGGAACACCAGUGGCGAAGGCGGCUUUCUGGACCAAUACUGACGCUGAGACGCGAAAGCGUGGGGAGCAAACCGGAUUAGAUACCCUAGUAGUCC
rnacentral:rRNA from 1 species